rnacentral:rRNA from 1 species
UACUCCUACGGGAGGCAGCAGUGGGGAAUAUUGGACAAUGGGGGCAACCCUGAUCCAGCAAUGCCGCGUGUGUGAAGAAGGCCUGCGGGUUGUAAAGCACUUUUGUCAGGAACGAGUGCCUUGAGCCUAAUAUGCUUAAGGUUGACGGUACCUGAAGAAUAAGCACCGGCUAACUCCGUGCCAGCAGCCGCGGUAAU